AUUCAGCAGAUAAAGAAACAAAAAAUGCAGCACUACUAACGACACAGCAGUCCGGACAGCAGACAAAAGGCUGGACACACGCCUCCAGAGUGAAAACCAGAAACACCCAAGUGCAAAGUGGCUUCCUCCCCUGGAGACCUCAAGAUACAAUUGCCCCAAACAAGCCGGUGAUCAACCUAGAUCAGAUAAGUGAAUCCUCUAAAAACAGAAGCUCACCGAACCCAGCUGAAUAAUUCUGCCAGAGAAAACCUGCAGAAGGGGAUGUUACAGCACCAUCCAGUGCCUCUUCUCCCUGCAAUAUCGGGAAAAUUUGGAUUUUCCACUUCAUUCGAGCAUGUAGGUGGGGAUGAGGGAGUGCAUUGGCUGCUUAGGCAUUGACAACUUCUUUUCUCAACCAGUGUGGAGAGAGAAGGGAGCUGAGGGAUGGAAAGGAGCUUUGGAAUUUCACACAGGGAAGAUUUUGGCUUUCCCCCUGAGGACAGUCAGGAAGGGGAUGCAGCAGCAGGCAAAUGGGAAGAAAAGUUAAAUAAGAAACUGGCCAAAUGGCAUGUUUUGGGGUUGUAUUUUUGGUAGAGCAAUGAUCUGUUCAGUGAAUGACUGAUCAAGAGGAGGCUGGUGUUGGUUUUUGCAAACUCCUUGUGUUGAGGACUGCACCUGUAAUCGGGGAACAGGCUACAUUUUAAUAUGCUUUACAUUCCUGUCCCUUUGUUUCAUUUUCUGCUGGAGAGGUGAUUUAACAUCCUCUGAUUCCAAACUACACCAAGAACAACUUUGCAAUUAUUCCCAAUCCCCCACAGGAGAUGAAUUUGGGGAUUAAGCCCCUCUAGGAAACAACUUCCAGUGUUCUCAGUCUGAGUUUGGGAGCACAACUUG